rnacentral:rRNA from 1 species
UCAUAUAUUUACUGCUCCWAAAAAAAAAAACGGACGGGUAAGUAACACGUGGGUAACCUGCCUGUAAGACUGGGAUAACUCCGGGAAACCGGAGCUAAUACCGGAUAGUUCCUUGAACCGCAUGGUUCAAGGAUGAAAGACGGUUUCGGCUGUCACUUACAGAUGGACCCGCGGCGCAUUAGCUAGUUGGUGGGGUAAUGGCUCACCAAGGCGACGAUGCGUAGCCGACCUGAGAGGGUGAUCGGCCACACUGGGACUGAGACACGGCCCAGACUCCUACGGGAGGCAGCAGUAGGGAAUCUUCCGCAAUGGACGAAAGUCUGACGGAGCAACGCCGCGUGAGUGAUGAAGGUUUUCGGAUCGUAAAGCUCUGUUGUUAGGGAAGAACAAGUGCGAGAGUAACUGCUCGCACCUUGACGGUACCUAACCAGAAAGCCACGGCUAACUACGUGCCAGCAGCCGCGGUAAUACGUAGGUGGCAAGCGUUGUCCGGAAUUAUUGGGCGUAAAGGGCUCGCAGGCGGUUUCUUAAGUCUGAUGUGAAAGCCCCCGGCUCAACCGGGGAGGGUCAUUGGAAACUGGGAAACUUGAGUGCAGAAGAGGAGAGUGGAAUUCCACGUGUAGCGGUGAAAUGCGUAGAGAUGUGGAGGAACACCAGUGGCGAAGGCGACUCUCUGGUCUGUAACUGACGCUGAGGAGCGAAAGCGUGGGGAGCGAACAGGAUUAGAUACCCUGGUAGUCCACGCCGUAACGAUGAGUGCUAAGUG